rnacentral:lncRNA from 1 species
UACUUUGUGUAUUGUCAAUUUCAGGGUCUCUUUCAUCUGGGUAUUUGUACUUGACAUCCAUUUUACAACUGCUAAAGAUCAAGAGUUCUCUUCGGCAAUCAUUUUAGUUCGAACUUAGGAAGUGAUUGCUCGUCGCUAUUGUUGUCGUGGGCUCGUGUCAAUUGGCCCAUGAAAUAAUGUGUUGUACUAUAUCAAUAUUCAUGUUCUAGUUGUUGUGCACAUCAAAACUUUUUUUGAAGAGUAGUAGUUAUUAGUUCGCUAUACCAGUUGUUAGCUGGAUAUACUUUUAGAAGACAUGUCAUAGAGGAGCCUACCUGAUCUUAAUCCUAUAAUCUAUGUUCAUUGUCCUGCUGUUCAAGCUCUGAUUGAGAUUUAUGGCAAGUAUGGCUGUGAAUUUGAUUGGUGGAUUAAGAAAAGGUAGGUUACCUCUAUGCUAGGUCUUCUAAACGCAUAUCAAUGCCACAACUAGGUGCAUAAUUGUUACCUAGAUAUACCUUUGGAAGACCUUUCAUAGAGGAGCUUACUUUUUCCUAAUCCUAUUACUUAAGUUCAUUGUCCUAUUUGUCAAGCUUUGGUUGAGAUUUAUGGCAAGUAGGACUGUUGAUUUGAUUGGUGGGAUUAGAAAAAGGUAUGUUUCCUCUAUGGUUAGUCUUCUGAAAGCAUAUCAUGGUAGCAAUUGGUGUAUAAAGUGUGGUGGCAUUGAUUUUCAACCACAAAUUACUCCAGAAAAGUGUUGAGGUGCAUAAUUGUUACCUAGAUAUACCUUCGGAAGACCUGUCACAGAGGAGCUUACUUUUUCCUAAUCCUAUUAUUUAAGUUCAUUGUCCUAUUUGUCAAGCUAUGGUUGAGAUUUAUGGCAAGUAGGACGGUUGAUUUGAUUGGUGGGAUUAGAAAAAGGUAUGUUUCCUCUAUGGCUGGUCUUCUAAAAGCUUAUCAUGGUAGCAACUGGUGUAUAAAGCGUGGUGGCACUAAUUUUCAACCUCAACCUACUCCAGAAAAGUGCUAAGGUGCAUAAUUGUUACCUAUAUAUACCUUCAGAAGACCUGUCAUAGAGGAGCUUACUUUUUCCUAAUCCUAUUAUUUAAGUUCAUUGUCCUACUUGUCAAGCUUUGUUUGAGAUUUAUUUAUGACAAGUAGGACUGGAUUUUAUUGGUAGGAUUAGAAAAAGGUAUGUUUCCUCUAUGGCUGGUCUUCUAAAAGCAUAUCAAGGUAGCAACUGGUGUAUAAAGUGUGGUGACAUUGAUUUUCAACCACAAACUACUCCAGAAAAGUGUUGAGGUGCAUAACUGUUACCUAGAUAUACCUUCAGAAGACCUGUCACAGAGGAGCUUACUUUUUCCUAAUCCUAUUAUUUAAGUUCAUUGUCCUACUUGUCAAGCUAUGGUUGAGAUUUAUGGCAAGUAGGACUGUGGGUUUGAUUGGUGGGAUUAGAAAAAGGUAUGUUUCCUCUAUGGGUGGUCUUCUAAAAGCAUAUCAAGGUAGCAACUGGAGUAUAAAAAGUAGUGGCAUUGAUUUUCAACUACAAACUACUCUAGAAAAGUGAAAAGUGUUGAGGUGCAUAAUUGUUACCUAGAUAUAC